CUGGAGUGUAUGCAGGGGUGGGAGUUUCCCUUGCUGUCCUGUUCAUUGUUAUUAUCACGGUAUCGUUUUACCUGGUCAGAGAAAAAAGGAAGAAGAAUAAGGAUGACUUCUUCAGAGAUAGUGAAGAUUUAUGGAGUCAUGAUACUGAUGAUCAGUGGACUGCACAAAAUGGGAUAUUCAAUCUAAACCUAAAUAUAGACUCAGAUUGAAUGUCUAGCAAGGAGAAGUUUCAACCCAAACUAGAAGCAGUGGAUACAAUAACUGAGGU